UGGCAAAGGUCUUACAUUUUAUGAUCAAUU
rnacentral:piRNA from 1 species